rnacentral:tRNA from 1 species
GGGUGUAGCUCAGAGGCAGAGCACAUGCUUGGCAUGCAUGAGGUCCUGGGUUCAAUCCCCAGGACAUCCA